GAUGAACGCUGGCGGCGUGCUUAACACAUGCAAGUCGAACGAACCUUCGGGUUAGUGGCGGACGGGUGAGUAACGCGUGGGAAUCUGCCCUCAGGAGGGGGAUAACGGCCGGAAACGGCCGCUAAUACCCCAUAUGCCGAGAGGUGAAAUGAAUUUCGCCUGAGGAUGAGCCCGCGUCUGAUUAGCUAGUUGGUGGGGUAAUGGCCCACCAAGGCGACGAUCAGUAGCUGGUCUGAGAGGAUGAUCAGCCACACUGGGACUGAGACACGGCCCAGACUCCUACGGGAGGCAGCAGUGGGGAAUUUUCCGCAAUGGGCGAAAGCCUGACGGAGCAACGCCGCGUGAGGGAUGAAGGCCUCUGGGCUGUAAACCUCUUUUCUCAAGGAAGAAGACAUGACGGUACUUGAGGAAUAAGCCACGGCUAAUUCCGUGCCAGCAGCCGCGGUAAUACGGGAGUGGCAAGCGUUAUCCGGAAUUAUUGGGCGUAAAGCGUCCGCAGGCGGCCUUGUAAGUCUGUCGUUAAAGCGUGGAGCUUAACUCCAUUUAAGCGAUGGAAACUACAAGGCUUGAGUGUGGUAGGGGCAGAGGGAAUUCCCGGUGUAGCGGUGAAAUGCGUAGAUAUCGGGAAGAACACCAGUGGCGAAGGCGCUCUGCUGGGCCAUAACUGACGCUCAUGGACGAAAGCCAGGGGAGCGAAAGGGAUUAGAUACCCCUGUAGUCCUGGCCGUAAACGAUGAACACUAGGUGUCGGGGGAAUCGACCCCCUCGGUGUCGUAGCUAACGCGUUAAGUGUUCCGCCUGGGGAGUACGCACGCAAGUGUGAAACUCAAAGGAAUUGACGGGGGCCCGCACAAGCGGUGGAGUAUGUGGUUUAAUUCGAUGCAACGCGAAGAACCUUACCAGGGUUUGACAUCCUGCGAUUCCCUUGGAAACGAGGGAGUGCCUUCGGGAGCGCAGAGACAGGUGGUGCAUGGCUGUCGUCAGCUCGUGUCGUGAGAUGUUGGGUUAAGUCCCGCAACGAGCGCAACCCACGUCUUUAGUUGCCAGCAUUCAGUUGGGCACUCUAGAGAGACCGCCGGUGAUAAACCGGAGGAAGGUGUGGAUGACGUCAAGUCAUCAUGCCCCUUACAUCCUGGGCUACACACGUACUACAAUGCUACGGACAAAGGGUUGCAAGCUCGCGAGAGUUAGCUAAUCCCAUAAACCGUGGCUCAGUUCAGAUCGUAGGCUGCAACUCGCCUACGUGAAGGAGGAAUCGCUAGUAAUCGCAGGUCAGCAUACUGCGGUGAAUACGUUCCCGGGCCUUGUACACACCGCCCGUCACACCAUGGAAGUUGGCCAUGCCCGAAGUCGUUACUCCAACCCUUGUGGAGGAGGACGCCGAAGGUGGGGCUGAUGACUGGGGUGAAGUCGUAACAAGGUAGCCGUACCGGAAGGUGCGGCUGGAUCACCUCCUAA
rnacentral:rRNA from 1 species